GUUAUAUGGUCAAGCGAUGAAGCGCAUACGGUGGAUGCCUAGGCAGUCAGAGGCGAUGAAAGACGUGGAAGCCUGCGAUAAGGUUCGGCGAGGUGGCAAACGACCUGCGACCCGGACAUCUCUGAAUGGGGAAACCCACCCAAGGUAACUUGGGUAUCUCAUGUUGAAUAUAUAGACAUGAGAGGCGAACCGGGGGAACUGAAACAUCUAAGUACCCCGAGGAAAAGAAAUCAACCGAGAUUCCCCUAGUAGCGGCGAGCGAACGGGGACCAGCCCUUAAGCAACACAACUGGUAGGUGAACAGAUUGGGAAAUCUGGCCAUAGUGGGUGAUAGCCCCGUAACCGAAACCUGAGUGUUGUGAAAUCGAGUAGGUCGAGGCACGUGAAACCUUGACUGAAGACGGGGGGACCAUCCUCCAAGGCUAAAUACUCCUGACUGACCGAUAGUGAACCAGUACCGUGAGGGAAAGGCGAAAAGAACCCCGGAGAGGGGAGUGAAAUAGAUCCUGAAACCGUAUGCGUACAAGCAGUGGGAGCCAACUUGUUUGGUGACCGCGUACCUUUUGUAUAAUGGGUCAGCGACUUAUUUUCAGUGGCGAGCUUAACCGUAUAGGGGAGGCGUAGAGAAAUCGAGUCUUAACUGGGCGACCAGUCGCUGGAAAUAGACCCGAAACCGGGCGAUCUAUCCAUGAGCAGGUUGAAGGUUGAGUAACAUCAACUGGAGGACCGAACCAGGAUCUGUUGAAAAAGAUUUGGAUGACUUGUGGAUCGGAGUGAAAGGCUAAUCAAGCCCGGAGAUAGCUGGUUCUCCUCGAAAGCUAUUUAGGUAGCGCCUCACGUAUCACCGCCGGGGGUAGAGCACUGUUUCGGCUAGGGGGUCAUCCCGACUUACCAACCCGAGGCAAACUCCGAAUACCGGUGAGUGCAAGCGUGGGAGACACACAGCGGGUGCUAACGUCCGUUGUGAAAAGGGAAACAACCCAGACCGUCAGCUAAGGUCCCGAAAUCCUGGUUAAGUGGGAAACGAUGUGGGAAGGCUUAGACAGCUAGGAGGUUGGCUUAGAAGCAGCCAUCCUUUAAAGAAAGCGUAAUAGCUCACUAGUCGAGUCGGCCUGCGCGGAAGAUGUAACGGGGCUCAAACCAGGUACCGAAGCUACGGGU
rnacentral:rRNA from 1 species